rnacentral:rRNA from 1 species
UACGUAGGGUGCAAGCGUUGUCCGGAAUUAUUGGGCGUAAAGAGCUCGUAGGCGGUCUGUCGCGUCGAAUGUGAAACCCCGAGGCUCAACCUCGGGUCUGCAUUCGAUACGGGCAGACUAGAGUUCGGUAGGGGAGCAUGGAAUUCCUGGUGUAGCGGUGAAAUGCGCAGAUAUCAGGAGGAACACCAAGUGCGAAGGCGGGUCGCUCGGCGGCGAACUGACGCUGAGGAGCGAAAGCAGUGGGAGCAACAGG